UACGUAGGGGGCGAGCGUUGUCCGGAGUACUGGGCGUAAAGCGCACGCAGGCGGUCUGCUAAGUUUGGAGUGACAGUUGGUGGCUUAACUGCCAAAGUGCUUCGAAAACUGACAGACUUGAGGGCUUCAGAGGGACACGGAAUUCCGGGUGGAGUGGUGAAAUGGACGCAGAUAUCAGGAGGAACACCGGAUGGCGAAGGCAGGUCUCUGGGCCACUAGCUGACGCUGAGAAGCGAAAGCAUGGGGAGCGAAACAGGG
rnacentral:rRNA from 1 species